GAUGAACGCUAGCUACAGGCUUAACACAUGCAAGUCGAGGGGAAACGACAUCGAAAGCUUGCUUUUGAUGGGCGUCGACCGGCGCACGGGUGAGUAACGCGUAUCCAACCUGCCCAUCACUUGGGGAUAACCUUGCGAAAGUAAGACUAAUACCCAAUGAUAUCUCUAGAAGACAUCUGAAAGAGAUUAAAGAUUUAUCGGUGAUGGAUGGGGAUGCGUCUGAUUAGCUUGUUGGCGGGGUAACGGCCCACCAAGGCAACGAUCAGUAGGGGUUCUGAGAGGAAGGUCCCCCACAUUGGAACUGAGACACGGUCCAAACUCCUACGGGAGGCAGCAGUGAGGAAUAUUGGUCAAUGGGCGAGAGCCUGAACCAGCCAAGUAGCGUGCAGGAAGACGGACCUAUGGGUUGUAAACUGCUUUUAUAAGGGAAUAAAGUGAGAGUCGUGACUCUUUUUGUAUGUACCUUAUGAAUAAGGACCGGCUAAUUCCGUG
rnacentral:rRNA from 1 species